rnacentral:rRNA from 1 species
UGGGGAAUUUUGGACAAUGGGGGCAACCCUGAUCCAGCAAUGCCGCGUGUGUGAAGAAGGCCUUCGGGUUGUAAAGCACUUUUGUCCGGAAAGAAAACGCCGUGGUUAAUACCCGUGGCGGAUGACGGUACCGGAAGAAUAAGCACCGGCUAACUACGUGCCAGCAGCCGCGGUAAUACGUAGGGUGCAAGCGUUAAUCGGAAUUACUGGGCGUAAAGCGUGCGCAGGCGGUCCGCUAAGACAGAUGUGAAAUCCCCGGGCUUAACCUGGGAACUGCAUUUGUGACUGGCGGGCUAGAGUAUGGCAGAGGGGGGUAGAAUUCCACGUGUAGCAGUGAAAUGCGUAGAGAUGUGGAGGAAUACCGAUGGCGAAGGCAGCCCCCUGGGCCAAUACUGACGCUCAUGCACGAAAGCGUGGGGAGCAAACAGGAUUAGAUACCCUGGUAGUCCACGCCCUAAACGAUGUCAACUAGUUGUCGGGUCUUCAUUGACUUGGUAACGUAGCUAACGCGUGAAGUUGACCG